rnacentral:rRNA from 1 species
UACGAAGGGGGCUAGCGUUGUUCGGAAUUACUGGGCGUAAAGCGCACGUAGGCGGAUAUUUAAGUCAGGGGUGAAAUCCCAGAGCUCAACUCUGGAACUGCCUUUGAUACUGGGUAUCUUGAGUAUGGAAGAGGUGAGUGGAAUUCCGAGUGUAGAGGUGAAAUUCGUAGAUAUUCGGAGGAACACCUGUGGCGAAGGCGGCUCACUGGUCCAUUACUGACGCUGAGGUGCGAAAGCGUGGGGAGCAAACAGG